UUACGGCCAUAACACGCCCAACACUGGUUCUCAUCCGACCACAGACGUUAAGCAACGUCGAGCUUGGUAAGUACCUAGAUGGGUAACCGCUUGGGAAUAUCAGGUACUGUAAG